rnacentral:rRNA from 1 species
UACGUAGGGUGCGAGCGUUGUCCGGAAUUACUGGGCGUAAAGAGCUCGUAGGUGGUUUGUCGCGUUGUUCGUGAAAACCGGGGGCUUAACCCUCGGCGUGCGGGCGAUACGGGCAGACUUGAGUACUGCAGGGGAGACUGGAAUUCCUGGUGUAGCGGUGAAAUGCGCAGAUAUCAGGAAGAACACCCGUGGCGAAGGCGGCUUUCUGGGACGGUACUGACGCUGAGACGCGAAAGCCAGGGGAGCAAACGGG